rnacentral:lncRNA from 1 species
AAAAGUUACUUAUGGGAGACAGGUGGCUAUGAAAUGUUAGACAUGCGAUCGUAUGCACUAUGCUAAUGCAAUAUGAUUGAUCUUUUUUUUACAAUCUCUCCUUUCUCUUUUUAUUAACAAGAUUUCUUUUUCUUUUUCUUUUUCUUUUUACCAAGAUCUCCAGAAAGUAAUGAAAGAAGUUUCCGUUGGGGGAAAUGGUGAAAGAUGUUUGAAAAAUGGUUUACCAGGUGGAGCCUGG